UAAAUAAUCUAGGGGGGCCUAUGUUAUAGGCUGAGAUAGAACUGUUAGUUCUGACCCUCAUACCUGAUCUGGAUAAUUCCAGCGUAGGGAAGAGCUUUAUAUGGUUU
rnacentral:ncRNA from 2 species